rnacentral:tRNA from 1 species
UCCACAGUAGCUCAGUGGUAGAGCUAUCGGCUGUUAACCGAUCGGUCGUAGGUUCGAGUCCUACCCGUGGAGCCA